CCUACGGGUGGCAGCAGUGAGGAAUAUUGGUCAAUGGUCGCGAGACUGAACCAGCCAAGUCGCGUGAAGGAUGAAGGUACAGAGUAUCGUAAACCUCUUUUGUCAGGGAACAAAGUCGGGGACGUGUCCCCUGAUGAGUGUACCUUAUGAAAAAGCAUCGGCUAACUCCGUGCCAGCAGCCGCGGUAAUACGGAGGAUGCGAGCGUUAUCCGGAUUUAUUGGGUUUAAAGGUAGCGGAGGUGGUCUGUUAAGUCAGUGGUGAAAGGCCGGGGCUCAACCCUGCGCUCGCCGUUGAUACUGGCAGUCUUGAGUAGGAGAGAAGUAGGCGGAAUGCGUGGUGUAGCGGUGAAAUGCAUAGAUAUCGCGCAGAACUCCGAUUGCGAAGGCAGCAUACC
rnacentral:rRNA from 1 species